UACAGAGGGGGCAAGCGUUGUUCGGAAUUACUGGGCGUAAAGGGUGCGUAGGCGGUCGUGCAAGUCGGAUGUGAAAUCUCAGGGCUCAACCCUGAAACUGCAUUCGAUACUGCGCGGCUAGAGUGCUGGAGGGGAGACUGGAAUUUACGGUGUAGCAGUGAAAUGCGUAGAUAUCGUAAGGAAGACCAGUGGCGAAGGCGAGUCUCUGGACAGCAACUGACGCUGAGGCACGAAGGCCAGGGGAGCAAACGGG
rnacentral:rRNA from 1 species